AUAUUGCGCAAUGGAGGAAACUCUGACGCAGCGACGCCGUGUGAGUGAUGAAGGUCUUAGGAUCGUAAAGCUCUGUCCUUGGGGAAGAAGGGCUUCGGAAUUGACGGUAUCCAUGGAGGAAUACACGGCUAACUACGUUACAGCAGCCACGGUAAUAUGUAGGGGGCAAGCGUUGUCCGGAAUUAUUGGGCGUAAAGGGUGCGUAGGCGGCCUUUUAAGUCAGAUGUGAAAGCCCACGGCUCAACCGUGGGAUUGCAUUUGAAACUGGAGGGCUUGAGUAUCGGAGAGGGUAGUGGAAUUCCCAGUGUAGCGGUGAAAUGCGUAGAUAUUGGGAGGAACACCAGUGGCGAAGGCGACUACCUGGACGAUUACUGACGCUGAUGCACGAAAGCUAGGGGAGCAAACA
rnacentral:rRNA from 1 species